GCGAGAGUAAUUCAGUGGUAGAAUUCCAGCUUCCCAAGCUGGCUACGCGGGUUCGAUCCCCGUCUCUCGCUCCA
rnacentral:tRNA from 1 species